UACGGAGGGUGCAAGCGUUAUCCGGAUUCACUGGGUUUAAAGGGUGCGUAGGAGGGCAGGUAAGUCAGUGGUGAAAUCCCCAAGCUUAACUUGGGAACUGCCAUUGAUACUAUCUGUCUUGAAUACCGUGGAGAUGAGCGGAAUAUGUCAUGUAGCGGUGAAAUGCUUAGAUAUGACAUAGAACACCAAUUGCGAAGGCAGCUCAUUACACGAAUAUUGACGCUGAGGCACGAAAGCGUGGGGAUCAAACAGG
rnacentral:rRNA from 1 species